UGGCUCAGUUGGUAGAGCAUGGUGUUUGCAACGCCAGGGUUGUGGGUUCGAUUCGAUUCCCAC
rnacentral:tRNA from 1 species